GAUGAACGCUGGCGGCGUGCUUAACACAUGCAAGUCGAACGAAGCACUUGAAACGGAUUCUUCGGAUGAAGUUUCCUGUGACCGAGUGGCGGACGGGUGAGUAAUGCGUGGGUAACCUGCCUCAUACAGGGGGAUAACAGUUAGAAAUGGCUGCUAAUACCGCAUAAGCGCACGGCAUCGCAUGAUGCAGUGUGAAAAACUCCGGUGGUAUGAGAUGGACCCGCGUUGGAUUAGCUAGUUGGCAGGGUAACGGCCUACCAAGGCGACGAUCCAUAGCCGGCCUGAGAGGGUGGACGGCCACAUUGGGACUGAGACACGGCCCAGACUCCUACGGGAGGCAGCAGUGGGGAAUAUUGCACAAUGGGGGAAACCCUGAUGCAGCGACGCCGCGUGAGCGAAGAAGUAUUUCGGUAUGUAAAGCUCUAUCAGCAGGGAAGAAAAUGACGGUACCUGACUAAGAAGCCCCGGCUAACUACGUGCCAGCCGCCGCCGUAA
rnacentral:rRNA from 1 species